CACAGGUGCCAGCAGGCUUAGGUGCACUGCAUUUGUGCUCUCAGUGUGAGUGUUAACACCACGAGGUUUCCAUCUUUAUUCUGUCUUUGCAAAUCUGCUUCUUUAUGCUGCACGUUCUCAUCACAGAUGGUCUCACUGUCCUUGCCCACCACUACUGGCCCUGAAAUUGCAAGGCCGUGUGGACCUGGGGCUAUGGAGAUUUAUCAAUAUUUAUUUUGGCCACCUGAUGCGAAG